UACAGAGGGGGCAAGCGUUGUUCGGAAUUACUGGGCGUAAAGGGCGCGUAGGCGGCCUUCUAAGUCGAACGUGAAAUCCCCGGGCUCAACCCGGGAACUGCGUCCGAUACUGGAAGGCUUGAAUCCGGGAGAGGGAUGCGGAAUUCCAGGUGUAGCGGUGAAAUGCGUAGAUAUCUGGAGGAACACCGGUGGCGAAGGCGGCGAUCCCUGGACCGGGCAGUUGACGCUGAGGCGCGAAAGCCAGGGGAGCAAAGCGGG
rnacentral:rRNA from 1 species